rnacentral:rRNA from 1 species
GCCGUGCGGAAGGAUCCCGUGCGGAAGGAUCAUUAUUGAAUUUUAUUAAUGAGGAGUUGAGUUGUUGCUGGCCUUUUCUACCUUAAUUUGGCAGGAGGGGCAUGUGCACACCUUCUCUUUCAUCCAUCACACCCCCUGUGCACUUGUGAGACAGCAAUAGUUGGUGGAUUUAAUUCCAUCAUCCAUUUGCUGUCUACUUAAUUUACACACACUCUACUUAAUUUAAACUGAAUGUAAUUGAUGUAACGCAUCUAAUACUAAGUUUCAACAACGGAUCUCUUGGCUCUCGCAUCGAUGAAAAACGCACCGAAAUGCGAUAAGUAAUGUGAAUUGCAGAAUUCAGUGAAUCAUCGAAUCUUUGAACGCACCUUGCGCUCCUUGGUAUUCCUUGGAGCAUGCCUGUUUGAGUAUCAUGAAAUCUUCAAAGUAAACCUUUUGUUAAUUCAAUUGGUCUUUUUUACUUUGGUUUUGGAGGAUCUUAUUGCACCUUCACACCUGCUCCUCUUUGUGCAUUAUCUGGAUCUCACUGUUAUGCUUGGUUCCACUCGGCGUGAUAAGUUAUCUAUCGCUGAGGACACCCGUAAAAAAGGUGGCCAAGGUAAAUGCACAUGAACCGCUUCUAAUAGUCCAUUGACUUGGACAAUAUUCUAUUUUAUGAUCUGAUCUCAAAUCACGUAGGACUACCCGCUGAACUUAAGCAUAUAAGCAUAUAAAAGGGGGAG